rnacentral:rRNA from 1 species
UUAGCGGCGGACGGGUGAGUAACACGUGGAUAACCUACCUAUAAGACUGGGAUAACUUCGGGAAACCGGAGCUAAUACCGGAUAAUAUUUUGAACCGCAUGGUUCAAAAGUAAAAGACGGUCUUGCUGUCACUUAUAGAUGGAUCCGCGCCGCAUUAGCUAGUUGGUAAGGUAACGGCUUACCAAGGCAACGAUGCGUAGCCGACCUGAGAGGGUGAUCGGCCACACUGGAACUGAGACACGGUCCAG